AUUGAACGCUGGCGGCAGGCCUAACACAUGCAAGUCGAACGAGUGGCGGACGGGUGAGUAAUGUCUGGGAAACUGCCUGAUGGAGGGGGAUAACUACUGGAAACGGUAGCUAAUACCGCAUACCAUCGGAUGUGCCUAGAUGGGAUUAGCUAGUAGGUGGGGUAAAGGCUCACCUAGGCGACGAUCCCUAGCUGGUCUGAGAGGAUGACCAGCCACCCUAGAACGGAGACACGGUACAGAAUCCUACGGGAGGCAGCAGGGGGGAAUAUUGCACAAUGGGCGCAAGCCUGAUGCAGCCCUGCCGCGUGUAUGAAGAAGGCCUUCAGGUUGUAAAGUACUUUCAGCGGGGAGGCGUUACCCUCAGAAGAAGCACCGGCUAACUCCGUGCCAGCCGCCGCGGUAAUUC
rnacentral:rRNA from 1 species